UACGUAGGGGGCAAGCGUUGUCCGGAUUUAUUGGGCGUAAAGAGCGUGUAGGCGGCUAGGUAGGUCCGUUGUGAAAACUCGAGGCUCAACCUCGAGACGUCGAUGGAAACCAUCUGGCUAGAGUCCGGAAGAGGAGAGUGGAAUUCCUGGUGUAGCGGUGAAAUGCGCAGAUAUCAGGAAGAACACCCGUGGCGAAGGCGGCUCUCUGGGACGGUACUGACGCUGAGACGCGAAAGCGUGGGGAGCAAACAGG
rnacentral:rRNA from 1 species